GAUCAUGGCUCAAGAUGAACGCUAGCGACAGGCUUAACACAUGCAAGUCGAGGGGCAGCACAGGUAGCAAUACCGGGUGGCGACCGGCGCACGGGUGAGUAACGCGUAUGCAACUUACCUAUCAGAGGGGGAUAACCCGGCGAAAGUCGGACUAAUACCGCAUGAAGCAGGGGCCCCGUAUGGGGAUAUUUGCUAAAGAUUCAUCGCUGAUAGAUAGGCAUGCGUUCCAUUAGG
rnacentral:rRNA from 1 species